UCAUAUCAUUUUUCGAUUUAAAACCAUGAUGGCUUGAAUCCGAUUCAUACGUUAAUCGGUUGAUGAUGGCUUGAGUUUCUUCUUUAUUAUUUCUAUGCCGCCGUGUGCUUCGUCAAUAAUUUAAUACACCCAUACGUUUGCCGUUCAAAUCAGUUUUUGAUAAAUCGUAUAUUAUUUAUUAUUAUUUUCAUCACGUCCUGAUUUUGAUAAAUUGUACACCACAUGUUUAAUCGUUAUAUAUCAUGGUCGUCAUCUCGUUUAUCUUGUUGUUAUGAUAAGUAAAUAUUUUUCAUUUUUAUUAAAUAUGCUAUCUUAAAGAAAAGUCAAACAUGAAUAUACGGUUCAUUUCAUUUGCC
rnacentral:sRNA from 1 species